rnacentral:lncRNA from 1 species
AAACCUCAAGCAAAACUGGAGAAUCAGGCUUGGAGAUGAUCAACCACGAACAAUGCCCCAAGUUAUGCCAUGGAGCUGGUUUGGUAAAGACCCUGCCAUUCCCACCACAGAGCACAGACAAGUCAGUAUGUGCAGCUGCCACUGCCGACCUGGGAAACAGAUCACAGCUGUCUCCCAGGCAACCCUCUGCACUGCUUGAGGACCUCGUGGAAACUGCUUCUUCACACCAAAGCCUUCCCCUUCCGACUGUGGACUUCCCUGGUGGCUCAGCCAGUUAAGAAUCCCGCAUUGUCACUGCAGUGGAUUAAGUCACUAAAAAAGAAAAAAAAAAAAAAAGGAAGGAAAGGAAAGGAGGAAGGAAGGAAGGAAGGAAAGAAAAGAAAGAAAGAAAAGAAAGGAAAGAAAGAAAGAAAGAAAGAAAUUUAUUCAGACAGACUCUGCCUGACUUUUAAAAAUGCUUUACAUGGAGUUCCCGUCGUGGCCCAGUGGUUAACGAAUCUGACUAGGAACCAUGAGGUUGCGGGUUCGAUCCCUGCCCUUGCUCAGUGGGUUAAUGAUCCGGCGUUGCCGUGAGCUGUGGUGUAGGUUGCAGACGCGGCUUGGAUCCUGAGUUGCUGUUGCUCUGGCAUAGGCCGGCGGCUACAGCUCCGAUUCGACCCCUAGCCUGGGAACCUCCAUAUGCCACGGGAGCGGCCCAAGAAAUGGCAAAAAGACAAAAAAAAAAAAAAAAAUGCUUUACAAUUUUGUGGCAUUCCCUGUAGCUCAGCAAGUUAAGGGUCCAGUGUUGUUGCUGUUGCAGCUCUGGUUGCUGCUGUGGCGUGGGUUUGAUUUCUGGUCUGGGAAUUUCCACAUACCAUGAGUGCAGCAAAAAUUACAUAUAUAUAUUGCACCUAGAAUCAACAAUAAUACCACACCAUAUACUCUAAAAUUUCUUAAGAGGAUAGAUCUCACUAAGUGUCCUUUCUGUAAUAAAAUACAUUAAAAAAAAAAGAUAUUGGAAAUU